GCCUGCUGCUCUCCCACCGACUUACUUGUCCUCUACUCUCUCAACGACUUCCUCACCUUCUUCCCCCUCUGUCUUUUCAUCUCAGAAGGAAAAAGGGGAAACAAAGAGAGAGAGAAACUUCAGCAAUUCAAGACCAACGAUCAUCCCUUCGACGAUGGUGCUUCGAUUCUUCUCAGCAUUUCGAUUUUUCGAGUCUGAGGUUGUGGAAGACGAUUUUUCGAUCGUCAUAUUCAUUAGUUUCUCUGUUUUCUUUCUAAAAUAGGCGGAAAGAGUAAGACGGAGCAAGGUCUGGUGGAUUCGAGUUUGAGAGUGAUGUAUGAGUAAUUGUUUCAUGAAGAUUGGUUGGGCUUCAUCGUUUCUUCCUUUAAGGUUGUGCUCAUUUCCCUUUUUUUCGUUGUAUUUCUUGUACCUUGAUUAUGAGCGGUGCUUUAAUUUCUAUAUAUGCAGAAAUGGAGGAUGAAAAAUUAUUUUAGAACUAUGGGGUGGUUUCGAUUCAAUUUGGUAAAAAAUUGUGAUUAAAUUCCCAUGCAUUUUAAAGUCAGAGUCUUAUUUAUUUAUUUAUCUAUUUGAUUAAGAUCUUUCAGUAUCUAAUCGAUUAUUUUCUAUAUGAAGUUUGCUAGGAUAUCAGCUCCAACUAUUGGAAAAGUCGAGAACCCUCAUCGUUACCAUCCUGGAAACAAAAAGCAUUAAUGUGAAAGAUAUGAGUUUAGUGUGAUUAUUACUAAUUUAUAAUUGUAAUAGGAUUGAAUUAAUGAUGCUUGAGUUAAAUUAGAUUUCUUGCUUAUAGUCAAUAGUAUUGUUAAAUAGUGGCAUGUGUUUGAAUAUGGGUGAAAAUUUUCUAUUUAUUUUAUUACCUCUUGUUCCGCUGAGUUUGGGGUAUUAGGUGGUUUGUAUAGAGCAAGGUCGAGCGCGUCGUCGCCUAAGAGUACCCCGGUGGAGUAUGAGGUUCUUAUAGUGGAAAAUACGGUGGUUGGUGAGGAGGGAAAGUCAGAACAACAAGGUAAAGGCGGUGGAAGACCGUGUUUUAAGAAUGUUUUCGAGGUUGUGAGGAAAAUUCAGGUGCAAUAUGAGAGGGCUGCCACUUCUGGGGGUGAGAUUUCUAAGGUGUUGGAGGUAGGCUUACCAAGUUUCUACAAAGAUGCUCAAUGUGAUUAGUCCAUCAUUACCCUCUUCAUUGAAAGACGAGGCUUCUCUAGACCUUUAUGAAAAUGUGCAAUUGCAAUCAGCUAAUCUUUCAGCUACCUAGCAAAAAUUGUAUCUUUGGGAGAAGAAACUCUUUGAUGAAGUCAAGGCUGAAGAAAAAAAUGAGGGUUUCACAUGAUAUAAAGUUGGUAAAAUUAAACCAUUUGGUCGAAAAAGGUGUUGAACCCACCAAGAUAGAAUCAACAAGAAGCGUGGUGAGUAGUCUGUCCACAAAGAUAAGAAUUCCAAUUCAAAUAGUUGACGGGAUCUUAGUUAAAAUUAAUAAGCUCGGAGAUGAAGAGUUAUGGCCUCAGUAGAAUGAGUUAAUCCUAGGGGGGAAAAGAGGAGAAGAUCGAGAGGAAGACAAUCUCAGAGAAGUUCUUAAGCACUCAGCUCAAAUGCUUUUGGAGCUCCGAACCUCAUAAUAACUCUUGUUGCUUCUUCGUGUUUCUUCUACACAUCCUAUAUGCCUUGUUCUUGAGUAGGCUUGGGAUGAAGACAUCAUUGGCAUUGCCGAGAUGGCUUAGAAUGCACUAUAGUAUCUAUUUACAGCUGUUGUGAGGCUGCUAUGUCAUAACUUGAGUGGAGCAUGUGCUUAAAGGCGCCAAUAAGACAAGGAUACAACCAUCAGUACUCUAGCAACUCUCGGAUGGUAGAUGAAGCUGGUGUGAGAUGGUGAUGGUGUUAUAUGUUGAGGUUAUGGGAUUUAAUUUCAUUUGUAGUAUGAGUAGUAUUUAAUUUAUAGUUUUAGAUUGUAGAAAUGAAUAGAAUUAGAUACGUAAAUGAUGAAGUAAUGCAAGAGCAUAUAAGUGAAUAUAUGAGCAUAAUAUAUACUUGUAUUCAACUUCAAUAUGUGUACUGUGAUUGUAGUAGAGAAAUUAUAUCUUUGUUCUUGAGGUUGAGCAUCAA